rnacentral:rRNA from 1 species
AACGAACGCUGGCGGCAUGCCUAACACAUGCAAGUCGAACGAUGCUUUCGGGCAUAGUGGCGCACGGGUGCGUAACGCGUGGGAAUCUGCCCUUGGGUUCGGAAUAACAGUGAGAAAUUGCUGCUAAUACCGGAUGAUGUCUUCGGACCAAAGAUUUAUCGCCCAGGGUUGAGCCCGCGUAGGAUUAGCUAGUUGGUGGGGUAAUGGCCUACCAAGGCGACGAUCCUUAGCUGGUCUGAGAGGAUGAUUAGCCACACUGGGACGGAGACACGGCCCAGAAUCCUACGGGAGGGAGGAGUGGGGAAUAUUGGACAAUGGGCGCAAGCCUGAUCCAGCAAUGCCGCGUGAGUGAUGAAGGCCUUAGGGUUGUAAAGCUCUUUUACCCGGGAUGAUAAUGACAGUACCGGGAGAAUAAGCUCCGGCUAACUCCGUG